rnacentral:miRNA from 1 species
UGGCUAAAAAGUUUGUUUGGGUUUUUCUGUAACAUCUUGUGGAAAAAUCCAAACGUAAUCUUUGGUCAAACCAA